GACGAACGCUGGCGGCGUGCCUAAUACAUGCAAGUCGAACGAGAAAGCCCGGCUUCGGUUGGGUUAGUAAAGUGGCGCACGGGUGCGUAACACGUGAGGAACAUGCCCCUAUGUCGGGGAUAAGCCUGCGAAAGCGGGUCUAAUACCGGAUGUUGUUACUGGAUCUCAUGAUCCGGCAAUUAAAGGCGGUUGAGUCUAUGCCGUCGCAUAGGGAUUGUCUCGCGGCCCAUUAGCUAGUUGGCGGUGUAAUGGACCACCAAGGCUCCGAUGGGUAGCCGACCUGAGAGGGUGACCGGCCACACUGGGACUGAGAUACGGCCCAGACUCCUACGGGAGGCAG
rnacentral:rRNA from 1 species